rnacentral:siRNA from 1 species
UGACGGCUGAAUUAGUCACUGC